ACCAAGCCUAGGUCUUUGAAACCAGAGCAGAGCAUGGGAUUUCCUAUGAUGGAUGUAAAUGGUAGUCCUGUAUAGUACCCAUCCUGGGACUACCUGGUUGCUGGAGCAUCUGAGCGUGGUGAAGCCACUUGCUGCAACAGGGCACUUAAGCACAGCCUGUAGAGCCACGUGUACCGAUCCAGUUGGUAAUUACUGGAGUCAUUUUCUCCAGUCUGGGAGUGAAGUGGUCACGGGAGUCACAUUCUGGGUGAGAAAGAAAAGCUUUGUACAGAGACGUGAGCUUUAAUCAGGGGACAGCAGACAAGCAUUUUAGAAAGUCUCCCCUUGCCUCGCGGUGAUGAAGAAUAAAUGACCCACCAGCAAAUGACUCCCUACGCUACUGCUACAGCUCCCUGGAAAUACCCACAAUGCUUCUGCCUGGAUUUCAAAGAUGGUCUGGGCCUCACUGUGGUCAUUAGUGCUGUAGGAAAAACAGCAGUCGAUCAAUGGAUUGACUCUGGGGAGAUGCUUCCGGGUUUCAUCGCUCUAAGCCACAGUUACAAGGUUAGUUGGGAGAGGACAGAUAUUUAUGGAGUUCUCCCGUAAUAGGAGACCAGAGGGUGGUGGGAGAGUGUAAGGGAUUUGGACUUCCCAGGAGGAGCAAGCCAGUUUGUAACACUUCCUUACUUGCCUCUACCUAGUCCAGCUUUCCCUUAACCCGGCCGUUUCACUCCAUCUGACCAUGCCUCUUGAAUUACUCCUAAAACCAGACACUCUCGGUACAGAAUAGCCUCGUGCCAGGUUCUCUCCCAGGCAAAGGGAACAUCCUCCAUCAUGAGUCUUUCAAACUCUGUGCUCAGGCCUUGGGUAGACAGUGUCUAUUCAGAAAGGCAUGACUGGAAUUUGGAGUGUAAGGAAUCCCAUUGGUGGAUUUAACUUUACAUCUGUGAUUCUAUCUGUGGGCUCAGAGAUGUUCUUUCACUGAAGAUAAUUUGUCCUAAAUCAUUAAUGAGCCUGGAGUACAUGGUUAGGGACCUGUUCCUGAGUAGACACUGAGCCCCAUGACUAGAAAGGGUCCUUACCUGGGCUGAGGUAACCAGUUAGUGGGGUUGACUUUAAACCCAAAAGAAGGCACCCCAGAAGUGCUCAUAGACACUGCAGGCUCUGUCUACUUUCAUUGACUACCUAGGAGAUGAGAAAAGUCUUUAAAAAACAAAAUUUAAAAUUCGACAGCGUGAUUCCUUUCAGUGUGAAAUCCACUAAUCUCCUUUGCAGAAGGCCCCAGACCCACGGGGCCUACAAAAUAUUAACUUAGCAUUUGAACUUUCAUUUAGCACAUGGCUCAGAUUCUCAUUAGCAUUUAUGAUCAUGAAGUGAAUUUAAUUUGUUCCUAUUCAUAAGAAAGAGGACGGAAUUUGAAGGUUUCCUUUGCUACUAAAAUUAUUAUUGACAAUUGCUAGCAGGGGCAGAAGUGGCUAGAAAAAGUGCAGAACAUCAGGGUGUUUUUUUUUUUUUUCUGGGUUAAUUAUCUUGUCAGGAGCCAUGGUCCAUGACACACAGGGCUCCUGUCAGCAAAGAUUUGUGAGCAGAUUAUGAUAUGCCUGUUACCUCAUGAUCACCACUAUACAGCCUUGUGCCCAAGAAGCAGGCUCUUUCUAAGAACUACAUUAUUUAUGACAAAUUGAAACAGUAGAAAUUUAAAGGUUUCAAUUAUGCCAAAAAGGGUGUCAGGAAUCCUGUCUGUCUCAAUCACGGAUUUUCUUUUUCAGAGUAUAAUUUCCAAAAUCAAUUUACAAGGAGGGAAACUCUGUGUAGUUUAGAGGAUUCAGUCCAAGGUUGGUUAAAUCCAUUUCCUUGGAGCUGAGGUAUAGUAGUGUAGAAGUGAGAGUACAUGGUGGAUACUGUGAACCUGGUGGUAAUCAGAGAACAGAGAGACAGAAGGAAGCCAUGGACACCAUACCCUUCAAAGGCACGCCAACAACGAUUCACUUUCACCAAGCCCCGCCCAUCUCCCAUCACCUCCAAAUGAGAACAUCAGAGUAUAAAUACACUGGUAGACCAGUCCACUCAGGAAGCAUGGAGUCAUUGUCAUUUUAUAACGUAUAACAGGAACAUUAAAAACCUAUCAAUUUUUAAAACCUUAUUAUAACUGUCAUUUGUGAAGCAUAAAGUUUAUAAAUUUAACUGGUGUAUACACCUGUAAAAUCAACAGCAUAACUAAUAUAAUCAGUGUUUGAUCCCUGAGACCCUCAACCUCCUUUCUGUUGGUUUAUUCUACAUGCUAACCUGGGUGGGCCAGAGGCCAGCAUUAUUCUGAUCAUUGCUUUAAAAGUAGUUUUGUGAGUAAAUUGAGUGAGUACAUGAGUGGACUUUCAUUAAGCCUGCUGGGCUUCCAUGUGGUGAAGAAACCAUAUCCAAUUAGUAGAAAGUUUAAGAGAACAAAAAUUGAGCUCUUCAAAGACAGAAGGAAAUCUGCUAACCAACUGUCAUGGGCUCUUCCCUGGACAUCGGCUUGCUUGCCUCUACACUGGAUUUUGUUCCCAUGGGUCCCAAGUUACAUGAGCCAAUUCAGUAAAAUACUCUUAACAGGCACCAUGGCUGUUGUGUCCUCAAAACCACACAGCUCCCUACCCUGUCUCCGGCCCUUCUCAUCGCUGCUCCCAGGCAACUGAUGAUCUAUUCUCCAUCACUACAAAUGACUUCGUAUCUCUUAGAGCAGACUAAUGACUUAAGAGUGUGUCCUCUUUGACUUCUUUUAAUCUCAGAAUCAUGAGAUGAAGUGUCUUCAUGCUUCAUUUGCUGUUAACCCUUUCACCUGUAUGUGACCAUUUCAGGGUUUUAUUUUCUAGAUCAUUUCUACGAGAAAUAAAAUUACUGUGAAUAUUUCUGU
rnacentral:lncRNA from 1 species